rnacentral:rRNA from 1 species
AGGGGAAUAUUGCACAAUGGGCGCAAGCCUGAUGCAGCCAUGCCGCGUGUGUGAAGAAGGCCUUCGGGUUGUAAAGCACUUUCAGCGGGGAGGAAGGCGAUAAGGUUAAUAACCUUGUCGAUUGACGUUACCCGCAGAAGAAGCACCGGCUAACUCCGUGCCAGCAGCCGCGGUAAUACGGCGGGUGCAAGCGUUAAUCGGAAUUACUGGGCUUAAAGCGCACGCAGGCGGUCUGUCAAGUCGGAUGUGAAAUCCCCGGGCUCAACCUGGGAACUGCAUUCGAAACUGGCAGGCUAGAGUCUUGUAGAGGGGGGUAGAAUUCCGGGUGUAGCGGUGAAAUGCGUAGAGAUCUUGAGAAAUACCGGUGGCGAAGGCGGCCCCCUGGACAAAGACUGACGCUCAGGUGCGAAAGCGUGGGGAGCAAACAGG